GAUAAGGGAGUAUUGUAGUAUGCUAGACUGGGAAUUAAGAGGAUCUGGGUUCAAAUCCCAGCUCUGACA
rnacentral:tRNA from 1 species